rnacentral:rRNA from 1 species
GAUUAACGCUGGCGGCGUGCCUAAAACAUGCAAGUCGAACGGAGUACCACCUUCGGGGGGUGCUGAGUGGCAGACGGCUGAGUAAGACGCGAGUAAUCGGCCCACGAGUGGGGAAUAACCGUCCGAAAGGGUGGCUAAGACCGCGUACGCUCUCGAGUUGAGAGACUAGAGAGGAAAGCUCGGAAGAGUGCUGGUGGAGGGGCUCGCGGCCCAUCAGCUAGUUGGUGGGGUAACGGCCUACCAAGGCGACGACGGGUAGCUGGUCUGAGAGGAUGAU